UACGGAGGGUGCGAGCGUUAUCCGGAAUUACUGGGUUUAAAGGGUGCGUAGGCGGCCAUGUAAGUCAGGAGUGAAAGUUUGCGGCUCAACCGUAAAAUUGCUUUUGAUACUGCAUGGCUGGAAUCAGGAUGAGGUCAGCGGAAUGUGGCAUGUAGCGGUGAAAUGCAUAGAUAUGCCAGAGAACACCAAUUGCGAAGGCAGCUGGCUAGACCUGUAUUGACGCUGAGGCACGAAAGCGUGGGGAGCGAACAGG
rnacentral:rRNA from 1 species